GCGGAAGAUGUAACGGGGCUAAACCAUGCACCGAAGCUGCGGCAGCGAACGUAUCACCCAAGACAACUUUACGGAGUUGACGAUUGACGGAGCGAAGCGACGUCAAAGCGUUCAUUAAAGUCGAGUUGGCUUAGGGAUACGUUCGUUGGGUAGGGGAGCGUUCUGUAAGCCUGUGAAGGUGUGUCGUGAGGCAUGCUGGAGGUAUCAGAAGUGCGAAUGCUGACAUAAGUAACGAUAAAGCGGGUGAAAAGCCCGCUCGCCGGAAGACCAAGGGUUCCUGUCCAACGUUAAUCGGGGCAGGGUGAGUCGACCCCUAAGGCGAGGCCGAAAGGCGUAGUCGAUGGGAAACGGGUUAAUAUUCCCGUACUUGGUGUUACUGCGAAGGGGGGACGGAGAAGGCUAUGUUGGCCGGGCGACGGUUGUCCCGGUUUAAGCGUGUAGGUGUGUGUUCCAGGUAAAUCCGGUUCACUUUAACACUGAGGCGUGACGACGAGGCACUACGGUGCUGAAGCAACAAAUGCCCUGCUUCCAGGAAAAGCCUCUAAGCAUCAGGUAACACGAAAUCGUACCCCAAACCGACACAGGUGGUCAGGUAGAGAAUACCAAGGCGCUUGAGAGAACUCGGGUGAAGGAACUAGGCAAAAUGGUGCCGUAACUUCGGGAGAAGGCACGCUGACACGUAGGUGAAGUGAUUUACUCAUGGAGCUGAAGUCAGUCGAAGAUACCAGCUGGCUGCAACUGUUUAUUAAAAACACAGCACUGUGCAAACACGAAAGUGGACGUAUACGGUGUGACGCCUGCCCGGUGCCGGAAGGUUAAUUGAUGGGGUCAGCGCAAGCGAAGCUCCUGAUCGAAGCCCCGGUAAACGGCGGCCGUAACUAUAACGGUCCUAAGGUAGCGAAAUUCCUUGUCGGGUAAGUUCCGACCUGCACGAAUGGCGUAAUGAUGGCCAGGCUGUCUCCACCCGAGACUCAGUGAAAUUGAACUCGCUGUGAAGAUGCAGUGUACCCGCGGCAAGACGGAAAGACCCCGUGAACCUUUACUAUAGCUUGACACUGAACAUUGAGCCUUGAUGUGUAGGAUAGGUGGGAGGCUUUGAAGUGUGGACGCCAGUCUGCAUGGAGCCGACCUUGAAAUACCACCCUUUAAUGUUUGAUGUUCUAACGUGGACCCGUAAUCCGGGUUGCGGACAGUGUCUGGUGGGUAGUUUGACUGGGGCGGUCUCCUCCUAAAGAGUAACGGAGGAGCACGAAGGUUGGCUAAUCCUGGUCGGACAUCAGGAGGUUAGUGCAAUGGCAUAAGCCAGCUUGACUGCGAGCGUGACGGCGCGAGCAGGUGCGAAAGCAGGUCAUAGUGAUCCGGUGGUUCUGAAUGGAAGGGCCAUCGCUCAACGGAUAAAAGGUACUCCGGGGAUAACAGGCUGAUACCGCCCAAGAGUUCAUAUCGACGGCGGUGUUUGGCACCUCGAUGUCGGCUCAUCACAUCCUGGGGCUGAAGUAGGUCCCAAGGGUAUGGCUGUUCGCCAUUUAAAGUGGUACGCGAGCUGGGUUUAGAACGUCGUGAGACAGUUCGGUCCCUAUCUGCCGUGGGCGCUGGAGAACUGAGGGGGGCUGCUCCUAGUACGAGAGGACCGGAGUGGACGCAUCACUGGUGUUCGGGUUGUCAUGCCAAUGGCACUGCCCGGUAGCUAAAUGCGGAAGAGAUAAGUGCUGAAAGCAUCUAAGCACGAAACUUGCCCCGAGAUGAGUUCUCCCUGAGACUUAGAGUCUCCUGAAGGAACGUUGAAGACGACGACGUUGAUAGGCCGGGUGUGUAAGCGCAGCGAUGCGUUGAGCUAACCGGUACUAAUGAACCGUGAGGCUUAACCUUACAACGCCGAAG
rnacentral:rRNA from 1 species